GGGUUCACCUCCUUCCGGUCUGAACAGUGAACUCCUCCGCAUGGACUCACGGGUUCACCUCCUUCCGGUCUGAACAGUGAACGCCUCCGCAUCGACUCACGGGUUCACCUCCUUCCGGUCUGAACAGUGAACUCCUCCGCAUGGACUCACGGGUUCACCUCCUUCCGGUCUGAACAGUGAACUCCUCCGCAUCGACUCACGGGUUCACCUCCUUCCGGUCUGAACAGUGAACUCCUCCGCAUGGACUCACGGGUUCACCUCCUUCCGGUCUGAACAGUGAACUCCGCAUCGACUCACGCGUUCACCUCCUUCCGGUCUAAAUGGUAAACUCCUCUGCAUUUUCUGUUCGGUUCUAUUUUGGUGGGGCCCACGCGUCAUCACAGAGUAUCUGGGAGCCCUGCCCUCUUGCAGAUGGGAAUGAAGGCCCAGGUGCUCUGGAGAGGUGACUCUCCUCUAGGUGAGGGGUGUGUGUGUGAGAGGAGUGAGGUGCGGUGUGGGAGGGUCCUUGCAGGGUCCGGCUGCUUUCGGAGGCUGUUUUUCUCAGCUCCCCGUUUUGUCCCUCCAAAUUGUGCCCCUCUCCUUCCAAUUGUCACUCUCCUUUCCCCCAACCCUCCCUGUCUCCCAGUUGUCUCGCUUCUCAGAAAGGAAACACUGGUUCUGUAAACCUGUUUGAGAAGAAAAGCUCGAGGUUUCUUGGCCUCUCUGCUUCUGGAGCCAGGGGAAAAAAUAGCCCCAGGCUGAAGACAGGAGGGACCAGAUUGCUGCUUGGUGAUGCGAUCUCACUGCAGAGGCAGCCAGGAGACCCUCCUGAGACGAAUCGGAGAGUCCAUGCUGCUUUUACACACAUCCUAGUUCUUUUAUAACUAGCCUUUUCCUAUUAACGGACAUCAUUCAAAAGCCAGUUUUAAGCAACAUAAAUAUUGAAAACAAUACUAUACUAUUUAGAAUUAAUUAUAAGUUUUGUUUUUAAAGCCUAAAUCUUUUAUUGUUGUUUGAACCCUGGGCACUGAAGCUAAUAAUGUAACUUUUCUCCCUUCUUUCUUCUUUGGCAUAGAUUUAAAGAACUGUUAGACUCAUUUAAAAUGCUAUUAGGCAUUUUAAAGAGUAAUUGUUAAAUGUGUUGUCUCUUGUGGGACUGGAAAUGUUCUGUUCUUAUCUGGCGCUGGUUACAUCCUGUUUUUCAUUUGGGAAAGUGCAUUGAGCUGGAAAUUUAUAUGUUCAAUUUCUGUAUGUAAAUUGUACUUCAGUAAAAAUUUUCAAAAAAGUGGCUGCCUUUUA
rnacentral:lncRNA from 1 species